rnacentral:misc_RNA from 1 species
AUACGGACUUUUCAUUCUCUCGUUGAUCGCCAAGCCACAAUUCUCACGAACGGAGGGCAGUUCCGUUCCUUCUCUGUACCGUCGAUGUACACGGUUAUAUAGGAUACGGUAUUAUAUUCGUGUCGUAAACCUGCGGUAGUAAAGAGUUUUAGAAACCGCGUAUACAGAGUCGAAAUUCAAAACAACGACAACGUCAAACGAGGAAUAUAAUUAUGACAACGACGAGCGAUCUAUCGAUUACUCCGAAGGGAAGUAAUCCGGCAGCCCGCGAAAUGAAAUGAGAAUAAAAAACGGAAGCUCCUUCGUUCGCAAGAGAGCUUAGAAACAAACGAACGAUGAAAUCUGCCAAGUCCUGAUCCGGUUGCGGUUCCAGCCGAGCUCUACUCUUUGAACGCUUACUAAAUAUAUACCUGUACAUACCUGCCACCGGUACGUAAACCGCAUUUUUUUUCGUCACGUUGUACCUGCUACGGUGUAGCGUUGUGACUGGAAUAGAUAAAUUCCGAAAUUUCUCUCGAACGGAGAGAAAAGGAUAAGAAACGAAAGAAACUAGAAUAGCUUCGGGUGAGAAACCAGAAGAGGGAGGUAGAGAGAGAGAGAGAGAGAGA